GAUGAACGCUGGCGGCGUGCUUAACACAUGCAAGUCGAACGGUGAAGGCGGAGCUUGCUCUGCUGGAUCAGUGGCGAACGGGUGAGUAACACGUGAGCAAUCUGCCCCUGACUCUGGGAUAAGCGCUGGAAACGGCGUCUAAUACUGGAUACGAGCUGCGAAGGCAUCUUCAGCAGCUGGAAAGAAUUUCGGUCAGGGAUGAGCUCGCGGCCUAUCAGCUUGUUGGUGAGGUAAUGGCUCACCAAGGCGUCGACGGGUAGCCGGCCUGAGAGGGUGACCGGCCACACUGGGACUGAGACACGGCCCAGACUCCUACGGGAGGCAGCAGUGGGGAAUAUUGCACAAUGGGCGAAAGCCUGAUGCAGCAACGCCGCGUGAGGGACGACGGCCUUCGGGUUGUAAACCUCUUUUAGCAGGGAAGAAGCGAAAGUGACGGUACCUGCAGAAAAGGCGCCGGCUAACUACGUG
rnacentral:rRNA from 1 species